UCCAAUUGUUUCUUUGAACUUAAGGACUGUAUCUGUGGAGAGAUCAGUGAAAUGGGAGAUCAUACAAGAAUGCAUGAAGGAGACCCUCCAAUACAUAUCCCAACUGAUCAGCCAGCAACGGCAAGUUAAAUUCUCAAUCAAAGGGAUUGGAGUUCUGUGCAUCCAGAAUGAGAAAGUGAAUAUGACCUUUUCCAAAGACUUCCUGCUAACCAUGGAAAGAAAUUGGAACCCAGGCAACACUCUUUUGAAUGACUCUGAGACACGAGCCUCAGUCUUUUCACAGAGACGCGAAUCAACAGUUCUAAGAGGAACAAUUUUUAGACAAACCACUGUUCCUGCCUAUGUGGGCGGGCCUCUGAAGUUUCCAAGAAUUAAGCACGAGGAAACCACUAACAGUAAUGGAACAUAUCAAAGAAGAGACUGAAAUAACCAACAAUGAAAAACACCAAACUC